AUUGAACGCUGGCGGCGUGCUUAACACAUGCAAGUCGAUCGGUAACAGGUGUAGCAAUACAUGCUGACGAGAGGCGGACGGGUGAGUAAUGCUUGGGAAUCUGCCUAUUAGUGGGGGACAACCCGGGGAAACUCGGGCUAAUACCGCAUACGCUCUACGGAGGAAAGCCGGGGACCGCAAGGCCUGGCGCUAAUAGAUGAGCCCAAGUCGGAUUAGCUAGUUGGUAGGGUAACGGCCUACCAAGGCGACAAUCCGUAGCUGGUCUGAGAGGACGACCAGCCACACCGGAACUGAGACACGGUCCGGACUCCUACGGGAGGCAGCAGUGGGGAAUAUUGGACAAUGGGGGCAACCCUGAUCCAGCGACGCCGCGUGGGUGAAGAAGGCCUGCGGGUUGUAAAGCCCUUUCGGUGGGGAAGAAAAGUCUCGACCUAAUACGUCGGGACCUUGACGUAACCCACUAAAGAAGCACCGGCUAACUCUGUGCCAGCCGCCGCCGUAAG
rnacentral:rRNA from 1 species